GGAUAUAGCUCAGUGGCACAGUGCCUGCCUACCAAGCAUGAGGCCCUGAGUUUGAUUCUUAGUACCA
rnacentral:tRNA from 1 species